UUUGAGCUCUUCCAGCUCGGCUGCCUUCCUUGGCGUCCACCACCACCGCCUUUCUCCAGGGGUCUCCCAGCUUCUGGCCACAGGUGGAUUUUUCUCUCGACCACAAGGUCCUCAUUCUCAACGUGUGAGCUCAUCACCUUCCCUCCUCCACCCCACCCUCCUUCUCUCACAGUUCCUCUCAGCAGAAGGUGCCAGGAUUCACCCUGCUACGCACGCCAGAAACCAGAGAGCCAUCUUCGGCUCCUUCCCCCCGGACCCUACCCCAUCCUGUAUAUCCAAAGCAGCCACCAAGCCCCAGAGCUCCCAGACUAUCCGGGCUCCUUCCCUUCUCUGCCUGCAGCUCCCGGGACAGGCUCUGUAUAAAGCCCCUGCCCAGGGGUUAUCUCACGCAAUCUCCAUGGGCCCUGGGAGGCAGGUAUGCUUGGAGAACUUGAGCUGACGUCUGUGUGUGGCUCCAGAAUGCAAACCCUUAGCCACUGACUUGAAUCUGUUUAAGAAUGUAAUUUUUUUUCUUUUACUGUUACUUGAGCAUUAACAAUAAAAUAGUACAAAUGAUUACUAACUAGUCAGAAAACCAACAGCAAACUCACACUCUAUUCACAUUCAUCAGAGAAAAUAAAAGCCGGAAACACUUUUCACCUGGCGGUGCUGGGACAGACUGGGACCUGGGAUCCUUUGCUUCAAUGCUUGCACCUGGACACACCUCUUCUGGGGCAACAAGAUACAAAGAAACUAUAUGGGACUAAAAAUAACUGCGUUGCGUGUGCAGCUGGGACAAAUUCUGGACAAAAGAUUAAAAAAAGAGACCAGAGAAUGGAAACCCAAACCCAACUGCCACUUUUGAAGAGCCUGGAGCAAAAGCAGGAUACUGAACAUGUCCACUGCGCACAUCACCUCCUAAGGGGUUGGCAAAACUCCUGAGCCACCCCUCCAGCCCGACCCUGGGGACACCCCUACCCUCACCCAACAUGAGGAACAGUUUGCUGUCCCCUCCACCUUUGGAAGCGAGCUUGUUUGUCUUUGCUCCCCCUGCUGCGGCAGAGACCCCAAUAAAGCCUUGCCUGAAUUUCUUGUUUGGCCUCUGGGGCCAAUUUCUGUUGAUUGCUGUGUAUGCGUGCUCGGUCAUAUCCAACUCCUUGUGACUCCAUGGACUGUGACCCGCUAGGCUCCUCUGUCGAUGGGAUUUCCCAGGCAAGAAACCUGGAGUGGGUUGCCUUCUCCAGGGCAUCUUCCUUACCCAGGGAUCGAACCCACGUCUCUUGGCACCUACUCCUGCAUUGGCAGGCGGGUUCUUUACCAGCUGAGCCACCGGGGAUUGACUGGGGAAGGUCAAGAACCCUGGUCUUGUUAGGUCAGUCAGGUAACUGUGCACCUUCAGGAAGGCCUGCUGGAAAAGCUUAUCUCUUUACUUCUCUCCCUCCUUCCCAGACUGACAGUCUUAAGACUAAGUUUCCUGGGAUCUGAUCACCUGCCUAGUGCCCUCUAGCUGAAACCAGCUCGCCCUUGCUUGAGGAAGGCAAGGGCACCUGGGACUUGUUUUUGCUGCCUUGUACCACAGCCCAAAUCCCAAUAAACCUUGCUUGAAUUUCUCAUCUGAUCUUCAUCAAUUUCUAUUGACUAAAGAGCCCAAGGACCCGAGUUGGUAAGACCAUGAGCCCAGAAAGCAGCCACCUGGCUCACCCACUCCUCAACCCCUCACUUCCUAAGAGCAGAAGGGCCCCUUGGAUCCUAGCCUUCCUCUUCAUUUUGUUACUGACACAGGUUCUUGGACUCUUUAAUGGACAGAAAUCAAUAAGGAGCCAGACAAGAUAUUCAGGCAAGGCUUUACCAGGACUCUGACUCGAACUAUAGCAGCAGGGAGUGAAAACAAGCCCCAGGUGUCCUUGCUCCUCCCCGAGGGGGCAUGCAGGGGCUAGUUCCUUAAAUGGGCUAACAGGGGCGGGUCUGUGGGUUGGGUCAGAGGGGUGACUCAGGCGGUCUGCCCAGGUCACUUGGUGGUGCCCCUGUGCAAGGAUCACGUUCAGUACCCCGUUUUUGCUCCCAGCACCUCAGGAAUGGCAGUUGGCCUGUGGCCUUUUUGUGCAUCAGGGAAAAGGAAUCUUGAGAGCCAGGAGAAAUAUUCACCUUCUCCUGAGUAAGAUGGGCAUGGUCUGAACAGGGGAGCCAGCUCAGCUACUCAACU